AGUUUGAUCCUGGCUCAGGAUAAACGCUGGCGGCAUGCCUAAUACAUGCAAGUCGAACGAGAGUGCUUGCACUCUAGUGGCGAACGGGUGAGUAACACGUAAGGAACCUGUCCCAAAGACGAGGAUAACCACGGGAAACUGUGGCUAAUACUGGAUAGGACACAACUCUGCAUGGGGAUGUGUUUAAAGGUGCGAUUGCACCGUUUUGGGAGGGCCUUGCGCAGCAUUAGCUAGUUGGUAGGAUAACAGCCUACCAAGGCGACGAUGCUUAGCUGGACUGAGAGGUUGAACAGCCACACUGGGACUGAGACACGGCCCAGACUCCUACGGGAGGCAGCAGUAGGGAAUUUUCGGCAAUGGGCGAAAGCCUGACCGAGCAAUGCCGCGUGAACGAAGAAGGUCUUCGGAUCGUAAAGUUCUGUUGUUAAGGAAGAACAGUUUUAAGAGGAAAUGCUUAGAAUUUGACGGUACUUAACGAGAAAGCUCCGGCUAACUACGUGCCAGCAGCCGCGGUAAUACGUAGGGAGCGAGCGUUAUCCGGAAUUAUUGGGCGUAAAGCGUGCGUAGGCGGCCUGUUAAGUCAAAUGUGAAAGCCCACAGCUCAACUGUGGAGGGUCAUUUGAAACUGGCAAGCUAGAGUACGGCAGAGGUUAGUGGAAUUCAAUGUGCAGCGGUAAAAUGCGUUGAUAUAUUGAGGAACACCAGUGGCGAAGGCGGCUAACUGGACCGGAACUGACGCUGAGGCACGAAA
rnacentral:rRNA from 1 species